GCUGUUGGAGCUCUACAGGCAAGAAGACGGCAAGAGAGAGAAGGGCGCCUCGUAGUGGCUCCGAAGGAAAGGAAAACUCACCGUUCGCCGGCUUAUAGACAACGCCGGGCUCUUGCUUGCUUGCUUUCUUUCUUUUUCUCCCCCGUGUUUCCCCCUCUCCCUUUCACUCGACUCCGAGGCUUGCACGAAAUCGCGUGUCGCUCCCGUACCGCGUAGAAAUGUCGCCUCCUCAGGAUCACGAGGUUCCGUGAUCGCAGCUGUGCGCACAGCCAACGUUCUUCCUUCUUCGUGCGCUUCCUCUCCACCUACGGCCCCUUGGAAAUUCAAUUUCUGUGCAAACGUGUGAAAUCAAGAGGAAGCGAAUACAGGAAGAGAAACUGGACACGGAGAAGGGAGGGCAUCGCAACGUAACCGUGAGGAAACGUAGAUAAAGAGAGGAAACAAAUUUACAGUUGUGCCGUUCUGUGUAUCGGACCAGUGAGACAAGAGAGAGACAGAGAGAGAGAGAGAACGCGCUCAUUGUUCUGCUUUUGAAGAAAAGCAUUGAAGAAGGAGAAAGAAUUGACAGAGGUAGACGCAAACGAUUGCUCGUACACACGUAUAUACUGCCUACGAAGUAGGACAAAGGGCACGUGUAGACAGAGGUAAACACAUAAGGAAGGAGAGAAGAAACUGGAAAGGAUGCGUCCGAUUUGCCAGUGAUCGAACGUAGGCCUCGUCAUUAUUGCUUCGUGCGUGGGUGAAAACAGUGGUGUCACUGGAAAACUGACCGAAGGAGAGAGAGAGAGAAGAGGAGGAGUAGGGGAGGAAGGGAGGAAAAGCGGCUGGCGGCGGAGGCCACUUCCUGUGGGCGACGACAAGGAGUUGGAAGUGACGAAGGAAGUUCCUAAGAGGUUCCGGUACAAUGUCGACAGCCUACAGGAUGUGAUGGAGCCUCGUGGAGCCAGCUUUUACUAUGAGUUGAGGCCCCGUAAUUAAUUGUGAGUA
rnacentral:lncRNA from 1 species